AUUGAACGCUGGCGGCAGGCUUAACACAUGCAAGUCGAGCGGGGGAAGGUAGCUUGCUACCGGACCUAGCGGCGGACGGGUGAGUAAUGCUUAGGAAUCUGCCUAUUAGUGGGGGACAACAUCUCGAAAGGGAUGCUAAUACCGCAUACGUCCUACGGGAGAAAGCAGGGGAUCUUCGGACCUUGCGCUAAUAGAUGAGCCUAAGUCGGAUUAGCUUGUUGGUGGGGUAAAGGCCUACCAAGGCGACGAUCUGUAGCGGGUCUGAGAGGAUGAUCCGCCACACUGGGACUGAGACACGGCCCAGACUCCUACGGGAGGCAGCAGUGGGGAAUAUUGGACAAUGGGGGGAACCCUGAUCCAGCCAUGCCGCGUGUGUGAAGAAGGCCUUAUGGUUGUAAAGCACUUUAAGCGAGGAGGAGGCUACUUUAGUUAAUACCUAGAGAUAGUGGACGUUACUCGCAGAAUAAGCACCGGCUAACUCUGUGCCAGCAGCCGCGGUAAUACAGAGGGUGCGAGCGUUAAUCGGAUUUACUGGGCGUAAAGCGUGCGUAGGCGGCUUAUUAAGUCGGAUGUGAAAUCCCCGAGCUUAACUUGGGAAUUGCAUUCGAUACUGGUGAGCUAGAGUAUGGGAGAGGAUGGUAGAAUUCCAGGUGUAGCGGUGAAAUGCGUAGAGAUCUGGAGGAAUACCGAUGG
rnacentral:rRNA from 1 species